AACUUUUAACAACGGAUCUCUUGGCUCUCGCAUCGAUGAAGAACGCAGCGAAAUGCGAUAGGUAAUGUGAAUUGCAGAAUUCAGUGAAUCAUCGAAUCUUUGAACGCACCUUGCGCCCCCUAGCUAUUCCAAGGGGCAUGCCUGUUUGAGUAUCAUGAACACCUCAACUCUCAUGGUUUGCCAUGAUGAGCUUGGACUCUGUUGUUUUUGCUGGACUGUUGUUUGGUCCUCUGAAAUGAGUCAGUUUGCUUGUUUUUGGUGGCGCUAUGGGUGUGUUGACUCUCUACGCCUGGGGUCGUCCCCCGGCUAACCUUCAAUUAUGGGGCUUCGCUGGUGCUUAAAAAUGUCUCUCCUCAGCGAAGACAGCUAUUUUGACGUUCGAACUCAAAUCAGGUAGGACUACCCGCUGAACUUAAGCAUAUCAAGAAGCGUAGGCU
rnacentral:misc_RNA from 1 species